UGCUGGCGGUGACGCUAUGGCU
rnacentral:miRNA from 1 species